GACUGGGGAAGGGCUGAAUCCCGUGUGCACUGCGGGUGGAGAAAACCAUUUCUCCCAGCAUGCAGUGCGGCUAUCACCGGGCGAACCCCUGCUCUCGAGACAGGGCCACACUGCAUGCUGGGAGUAGUAGUUCCCGUUGAGUGGCACUGCAUGUCGGGCUAUUUUGCGUACCAUUUUACCGAGCCCCUUCCGGCUCAGGAAGAGGUACGGCCUCCGACCGGAAGUCGGGGAUAUGCUCCAUCCGAGAGGGUGGGGUCGUCCCAGGUCCCGGUUCCGCCCCUCCACUGGUGGGCGUGGCUAGCGAGUUUCGCGCGCGCUGCAAAGCCGGUUGCCUUGGCAGGGGCGUUUGGCGGCCGCUCGGAGGCCGAGGCGCGGAGCAUGGCCGAGGCGGGGCCGGUUCAGCCCGUGAGCCCCGCCGCGCCCCAGCCCCAGGGGGUUUCCUCUGGCGCCGCCGGGCCCGGGAGGAGCCGGAGCAGCAGCCAGGGGGAGCGGCCGCAGGAGCAGCUGACUGACCCGCGGGAGCUGCUGGAGGAGGUGGAGAUGCAGAUCGAUGACGCGGCAUUCUCACUAACAAAGAUCCUGGAGGCAACAUCUGCUGUGUCAGCUCAAGUAGAAGAGCUUGCAACCAAAUGUUCAGAAAAUGCCCGAUUCCUUAAAACAUGGCGGGAUCUUCUGAAGGAAGGGUAUGAAUCUCUGAAACCCAGUGACUGACAUAGCACAAACAUACACGGGAGGAAAUCUCAAGAAGGUACCGGAGAAGUUGAAUCAUCCCAUAGCAUUUUCAUUUUGUUGCCCUUGCCUUGCAGUGCCAGGACUUCGCUCUGAGUCAGGCAGGGCUGAGGAUCAUCUAUGUAAAUGAAGACUUUAACAACUUUUUGUGCCUUUAAAAAAAAAAAAGUGUGUGUUUUGAUAGCUUAACAGGACUUUUCAUCGACUAUCCCCUUUCAAGGAAAUGUAUCAUCCUGUGCACAAGCUGUUUUUAGGAAAAAAUGCCUGUUACUGGUGCAUGCAUGGAACACCCUUCAUAAUCUGUUGAUAAUACAAUAGACUGUUUUACUUUAGCUUGGAAACAGGGACUAGGGAUGUAAGCGAGUAGUGGAAUACUUGACUCUUCUACUUACAUUCCCUUCCUGCAAGGACCGGAGACAAGCCAGCUGGACUGGGAGCGGCUCAGCUCUCUGCCCAUCCCACGCUCCCGAGAACCUCUCUCAUGUCCAGCAGGCAGGGAAGGGGCCAGGGACUGAGGACCAAACCCGGGUGGAGUGUUGUGGCCAGACAAGC